rnacentral:sRNA from 1 species
UAGUAGAGUUACGUAAUUUGUGCCUGU